UGCCGCCCUUCUCCGAAGACUCAGGGCGGCUUACAAUUUUUGGGAUACAACCCAGUGUGCUCAGCAAUCUUAAGUCCGAGUCACUUGAUUUACUUCCGAGUAAGGCUAUACACGCAAACACUAAGCCACCCUGGCACCUUGUGCCCGCGAAACACAGGCCAUCCAAUAGCUUCACCCCCCUUAAUUUGGAAGAGGAUUAGCUCUUUUACGGGGUCAUAAUAGCCGGAGGUAGAGCUCAACCCGCCUAGUGGGCUUCAGUUGGGAGUCUGUUAAUUAACUGGUGUAAUUUUGGGGUGUUUUGAAGGGUUUUUGGAGCUGCUACCUCCGGGCCUCUUGAUGCCUUCUUAAGCAAGGUUAAUUAACUUCAGUGGGUUUGAGCUGUUUAAUUACAAAGGGCUGAUGUAAUAAAUGAUAAGGGACAGUUCCUGGAAAAUGAAAUCAAUGAAAUGUAAUAACUUAGAACACAGGAUGAGCACUGGUACUGAGCAUAAACUUCAUAGGUUUGCAAUUUCACAUGAUGAUUAUUAAAUGUUUGGCUUGAAAAUAUGCACAGCCAGCCUGAAAAAUAAGAGCUGAGGUAAAGUUUCAUGUUGACUUUUGUAGAAAACUAAUGAAAACAUUUACAUACGUAAGCAUAUAUUGUUUUCAAUGUAUACAGGUAGUCAUAAAAUGAGAACUGGAGUGAAUCAAAUACACAAUUCAUUAAACAAUGUUUCCAAAACAUCUGGUCCUGAAUUGCAGUUUGUUUGUUUUUUACAGAAUUUGAUUUGACAAUAGAUCUAAGCCCAAGCAACUGAAUGUACAGACAAUGUUUCAUGAAGAGCUAAUGAUGUUUCCACAAGACAAUCUGUGGAAGAAUCAAGAAUCCUACAAAAGCAAUAGAAAGCUUCUUCUCAACAGUUUGCAGAGUUUUCUCUGGAGUUCAGAGCUACUUCCGUGUACCAAAGAAAUUGGGCAUAGGAGAGGCAUGAGAAAGCUUUGCCAUUACAUUAUAUGAGAACCAGUUUGGUAAGUCUUAAAUUUCUUGUCUCACUGGCUGCCUUGGAUGACUGAUGAAACAGGCAACUAAAACUACAAUUCCCAGGAUGCUUGUGUUCUGUCCUCAUCAAGCCGAUGCUUAUUUUGCACAAUGAAUUUUCCGUAGACUUGCAGUUUCUUCAACAGAUAUAGCAUCAUGGAAUUAUUUAUUUCCUGAUCUCCUAAUUGAAAAUCCAUUCACUAAUAUAGUUUCUGCAUUUAGAAAGGGAAAGAUUCCCUCAAGUCAGGCCCAACUCAAGUUUGACAACUUUUAAGAUGUGUGGACUUCAACUCCCAGAAUUCCUCAACCAGCAUCUGUUAAAAUUGCCAGGUUUGAAAAACUCUGAGCUAUACGGUCUGCUUAUAAAAAUCCCAAUAGGUAUGUUGGCAGAAAAUUGCAACUGAUGGAUAAAAAAAUCUAAGUGUCCUGGCUAUCAGCCCUGAGAAUUACAUCUCAGAUAUUUGGAUGAAAAUACAAACAUGAGUCUGUAGAGAUUCUCAGCCAUUCAGGUCAUGGUUGUCCCAAAGGUGCUUUUUCAGGAGGCAACUGGACUUUAUUUUUUCUUUUGA
ensembl:lncRNA